rnacentral:rRNA from 1 species
CCCUUAGAUGUUCUGGGCCGCACGCGUGCUACACUGAGUGGAUCAGCGGGUCAGGUUGCGCGAAAGCGUUUCCUAAUCUUUAAAUCCGCUCGUGAUGGGGAUUGACGGUUGCAAUUUUCUGUCAUGAACGAGGAAUACCUUGUAAGCGCGGGUCAUCAUCCCGCGCUGAAUACGUCCCUGCCCUUUGUACACACCGCCCGUCGCUACUACCGAUUGGAUGGCUUAGUGAGACCCUCGGACCGAUAGGCUGUCGCUGCAGCAAUGUGGCGACUGGCCCGUCUUGGGAAGAAGGUCAAACUUGACUGUCUAGAGGAAGUAAAAGUCGUAACA